rnacentral:rRNA from 1 species
UACGUAGGGUGCGAGCGUUGUCCGGAAUUACCGGGCGUAAAGAGCUCGUAGGUGGUUUGUCGCGUUGUCCGUGAAAACUCACAACUCAAUUGUGGGCGUGCGGGCGAUACGGGCAGACUGGAGUACUGCAGGGGAGACUGGAAUUCCUGGUGUAGCGGUGGAAUGCGCAGAUAUCAGGAGGAACACCGGUGGCGAAGGCGGGUCUCUGGGCAGUAACUGACGCUGAGGAGCGAAAGCGUGGGGAGCGAACAGG